GCCUUCGUGGUGUAGUGGUCAGCACGCUCGACGCGAAUUCGAGAGGUCCGUGGUUCGAGUCCCAGCGAGUGCA
rnacentral:tRNA from 1 species